GAUGAACGCUGGCGGCGUGCUUAAUACAUGCAAGUCGAGCGAGGACCGCUCGGUGGCAACACCGGGUGGCUCCUAGCGGCGAACGGGUGAGUAACACGUGGGCAACCUGCCCCCGACACUGGGAUAAGCCCGGGAAACUGGGUCUAAUACCGGAUAUGAGCCUCCUCCGCAUGGUGGAGGCUGGAAAGGGUCUCCGGUCGGGGAUGGGCCCGCGGCCUAUCAGCUUGUUGGUGGGGUAACGGCCCACCAAGGCGACGACGGGUAGCCGGCCUGAGGGGGUGAACGGCCACACUGGGACUGAGACACGGCCCAGACUCCUACGGGAGGCAGCAGUAGGGAAUCUUGCGCAAUGGGCGAAAGCCUGACGCAGCGACGCCGCGUGCGGGACGAAGGCCCUCGGGUUGUAAACCGCUUUCAGCAGGGACGAAGCGAAAGUGACGGUACCUGCAGAAGAAGGUCCGGCCAACUACGUGCCAGCAGCCGCUGUAAGAC
rnacentral:rRNA from 1 species